UACGUAGGGGGCAAGCGUUGUCCGGAAUCAUUGGGCGUAAAGCGCGUGUAGGCGGCUAAGUAAGUCGGGCGUGAAAUCCCACGGCUCAACCGUGGAAGUGCACUCGAAACUGCGUAGCUAGAGUCCUGGAGAGGAAGGUGGAAUGCUUGGUGUAGAGGUGAAAUUCGUAGAUAUCAAGCGGAACACCGGUGGCGAAGGCGGCCUUCUGGACAGUGACUGACGCUGAGACGCGAAAGCGUGGGGAGCAAACAGG
rnacentral:rRNA from 1 species